CUUCAUUUUCAACGUGAAUGAGUGCUUAGUGAGGAGAGAGAAAAGAGCUCGGAUAUGGAGGAGUGGGUUAAGGAGAAACUGAGCUUGCAGGAGGCACUGAAAAAGUCUGAGGAGAGAGAAAAGAGUUU